rfam:Botryotinia fuckeliana T4 unplaced genomic scaffold Contig_7794_V3__V4, whole genome shotgun sequence.
GGUAACUUGGCCGAGUGGUUAUGGCGCCAGUUUCAGGCUGACCUGAUUCAUCUAUAUUACUGGUUCGAAAGAGCGAGGGUUCGAAUCCCUCAGUUAUCA